CUACGGGAGGCAGCAGUGGGGAAUAUUGGACAAUGGGCGCAAGCCUGAUCCAGCCAUGCCGCGUGUGUGAAGAAGGCCUUCGGGUUGUAAAGCACUUUUGUUGGGAAAGAAAUCCUGUCGGUUAAUACCCGGCGGGGCUGACGGUACCCAAAGAAUAAGCACCGGCUAACUUCGUGCCAGCAGCCGCGGUAAUACGAAGGGUGCAAGCGUUACUCGGAAUUACUGGGCGUAAAGCGUGCGUAGGUGGUUUGUUAAGUCAGAUGUGAAAGCCCCGGGCUCAACCUGGGAAUUGCAUUUGAUACUGGCAGACUAGAGUGCGGUAGAGGAGAGUGGAAUUCCCGGUGUAGCAGUGAAAUGCGUAGAGAUCGGGAGGAACAUCAGUUGCGAAGGCGGCUCUCUGGACCAGCACUGACACUGAGGCACGAAAGCGUGGGGAGCAAACAGGAUUAGAUACCCCUGUAGUC
rnacentral:rRNA from 1 species